rnacentral:rRNA from 1 species
GUGUCAGCCGCCGCGGUAAUACGUAGGGUGCGAGCGUUAAUCGGAAUUACUGGGCGUAAAGCGUGCGCAGGCGGUUAUGUAAGACAGAUGUGAAAUCCCCGGGCUCAACCUGGGAACUGCAUUUGUGACUGCAUGGCUAGAGUACGGUAGAGGGGGAUGGAAUUCCGCGUGUAGCAGUGAAAUGCGUAGAUAUGCGGAGGAACGCCGAUGACGAAGGCAAUCCCCUGGACCUGUACUGACGCUGAGGCGCGAAAGCGUGGGGAGCAAACAGGAUUAGAAACCCUUGUAGUCC